rnacentral:rRNA from 1 species
CCAAGGAGUGUAACAUGUGCGCGAGUCAUUGGGAAUUACUAAACCCAAAGGCGUAAUGAAAGUAAAGGUCUCUGUAUAGAGACUGAGGGAAGAUGGAGACCUUUCCUUUGGAAGGGUUGAAACGGCCUCUCUGUUGCCUAACACGGGCCCUCCCGCAUUCCCGGGGCGUCUCGUUCUCAUUGCGAGAUGAGGCGCACCUAGAGCGUACAUGUUGGGACCCGAAAGAUGGUGAACUAUNCCCGCCCAGGACGAAGUCAGGGGAAACCCUGGUGGAGGUCCGUAGCGAUUCUGACGUGCAAAUCGAUCGUCGGAGCUAGGUAUAGGGGCGAAAGACUAAUCGAACCAUCUA